UGGCAACAGUGAUGACAGGUUUGGUCUGUAUGUAAUAUAUUUUAUUACUACAUGAAGACACCAGUCCCUCUAAGCUGAUGUUGCCA
ensembl:snoRNA SNORD127 small nucleolar RNA, C/D box 127